UACAGAGGUCUCAAGCGUUGUUCGGAUUCAUUGGGCGUAAAGGGUGUGUAGGUGGCGCGCUAAGUCGGGUGUGAAAUUUCGGAGCUUAACUCCGAAACUGCAUUCGAUACUGGCGUGCUUGAGGACUGGAGAGGAGACUGGAAUUCAUGGUGUAGCAGUGAAAUGCGUAGAGAUCAUGAGGAAGACCAGUGGCGAAGGCGGGUCGUCUGGACGAGUUCCUGACACUGAGACACGAAGGCCAGGGGAGCAAACGGGG
rnacentral:rRNA from 1 species